rnacentral:rRNA from 1 species
GGGGCUCGUGAUAUCUCAUCUCGCCGCCGUCGCGAGGCGGACGAGGGAUGGAUGAGGUUACCUGGAAAAAAUCGGGCGAUCGUAGGCGGGCGAACCUCGCCAACGAACGAUCGGACAUGGGAUAACGGAAGAGGGCGUCGGCUCGACUUCGUCGGUUCCUCGGGCCGAGGCACGUACGGUGAAUAGGGACGGUCGGGGCCGCCCGUACCGGGUCGUGAGAGGUGAAAUUCUAGGAUCGACCGAGACGAACCGCCGCGAAAGCAUUCGGCAAGGACGCUUUCAUUAAUCAAGAACGAAAGUCGGGGGGAUCGAAGACGAUCAGAUACCGUCGUAGUCCCGACCGUAAACGAUGCCGACCGAGGGCCCGGAGGAGUUACGUACGACCCUCCGGGCCCUCCCGCGAGAAAUCAGGAGUAUUCGGGUUCCGGGGGGAGUAUGGUCGCAAGGCCGAAACUUAAAGGAAUUGACGGAAGGGCACCACCAGGAGUGGAAUCUGCGGCUUAAUUUGACUCAACGCGGGAAAAACUCACCAGGUCAGGACACGGUAAGGAUUGACGGACUGAAGGCUC